GAUGAACGCUGGCGGCGUGCCUAAUACAUGCAAGUCGAGCGAACAGACGAGGAGCUUGCUCCUCUGACGUUAGCGGCGGACGGGUGAGUAACACGUGGAUAACCUACCUAUAAGACUGGGAUAACUUCGGGAAACCGGAGCUAAUACCGGAUAAUAUAUUGAACCGCAUGGUUCAAUAGUGAAAGACGGUUUUGCUGUCACUUAUAGAUGGAUCCGCGCCGCAUUAGCUAGUUGGUAAGGUAACGGCUUACCAAGGCGACGAUGCGUAGCCGACCUGAGAGGGUGAUCGGCCACACUGGAACUGAGACACGGUCCAGACUCCUACGGGAGGCAGCAGUAGGGAAUCUUCCGCAAUGGGCGAAAGCCUGACGGAGCAACGCCGCGUGAGUGAUGCAGGUCUUCGGAUCGUAAAACUCUGUUAUUAGGGAAGAACAAAUGUGUAAGUAACUAUGCACGUCUUGACGGUACCUAAUCAGAAAGCCACGGCUAACUACGUG
rnacentral:rRNA from 1 species